ANUUUAACGCUGGCCGGCANGCCUANUUCAUGUCAAGUUCGCCACGGCAGCNCAAAGGAACUUGUUCCUUGGGUGGCNAGCGGCGGACGGGUGAGUAAUGCCUAGGAAAUUGCCCUGAUGUGGGGGAUAACCAUUGGAAACGAUGGCUAAUACCGCAUGAUGCCUACGGGCCAAAGAGGGGGACCUUCGGGCCUCUCGCGUCAGGAUAUGCCUAGGUGGGAUUAGCUAGUUGGUGAGGUAAUGGCUCACCAAGGCGACGAUCCCUAGCUGGUCUGAGAGGAUGAUCAGCCACACUGGAACUGAGACACGGUCCAGACUCCUACGGGAGGCAGCAGUGGGGAAUAUUGCACAAUGGGCGCAAGCCUGAUGCAGCCAUGCCGCGUGUAUGAAGAAGGCCUUCGGGUUGUAAAGUACUUUCAGUCGUGAGGAAGGUGGUGUUGUUAAUAGCAGCAUCAUUUGACGUUAGCGACAGAAGAAGCACCGGCUAACUCCGUGCCAGCAGCCGCGGGUAAUA
rnacentral:rRNA from 1 species